GCAGCCGCGGUAAUACGGAGGAUCCAAGCGUUAUCCGGAUUUAUUGGGUUUAAAGGGUGCGUAGGCGGCCUGGUAAGUUAGAGGUGAAAUCUCAUCGCUCAACGAUGAACGUGCCUCUGAUACUGUCGGGCUAGCGAGAGAGUGCUGUGGGCGGAAUGUGUAGUGUAGCGGUGAAAUGCUUAGAGAUUACACAGAACACCGAUUGCGAAAGCAGCUCACAAACUCUUUUCGGACGCUGAGGCACGAAAGCGUGGGGAGCAAACAGGAUUAGAUACCCC
rnacentral:rRNA from 1 species